UACGGAGGAUCCAAGCGUUAUCCGGAUUUAUUGGGUUUAAAGGGUGCGUAGGCGGCCUAUUAAGUCAGGGGUGAAAGACGGUAGCUUAACUAUCGCAGUGCCUUUGAUACUGAUGGGCUUGAAUACACUAGAGGUAGGCGGAAUGUGACAAGUAGCGGUGAAAUGCAUAGAUAUGUCACAGAACACCAACGGCGAAAGCACUCUGCUGGGCCGACACUGACACUGAGAGACGAAAGCUAGGGGAGCAAAUGGG
rnacentral:rRNA from 1 species